rnacentral:rRNA from 1 species
UACGUAGGGGGCAAGCGUUGUCCGGAUUUAUUGGGCGUAAAGAGCGUGUAGGCGGCCAUGUAGGUCCGUUGUGAAAACUCGAGGCUCAACCUCGAGACGCCGAUGGAAACCAUGUGGCUAGAGUCCGGAAGAGGAGAGUGGAAUUCCUGGUGUAGCGGUGAAAUGCGCAGGAUAUCGGGGAGGAACACCUGUGGCGAAAGCGGCUCACUGGACCACAACUAGACGCUGAUGCGCGAAAGCUAGGGGAGCAAACAGGG